CCUACGGGAGGCAGCAGUGAGGAAUAUUGGUCAAUGGGCGUAAGCCUGAACCAGCCAAGUCGCGUGAGGGAUGAAGGUUCUAUGGAUCGUAAACCUCUUUUAUAAGGGAAUAAAGUGUGGGACGUGUCCUAUUUUGUAUGUACCUUAUGAAUAAGGAUCGGCUAACUCCGUGCCAGCAGCCGCGGUAAUAUGGAGGGUCCGAGCGUUAUCCGGAUUUAUUGGGUUUAAAGGGUGCGUAGGCGGCCUUUUAAGUCAGCGGUGAAAGUCUGUGGCUCAACCAUAGAAUUGCCGUUGAAACUGGGGGGCUUGAGUGUGUGUGAGGCAGGCGGAAUGCGUGGUGUAGCGGUGAAAUGCGUAGAUAUCACGCAGAACCCCGAUUGCGAAGGCAGCCUGCCAAGCCAUGACUGACGCUGAUGCACGAAAGCGUGGGGAUCAAACAGGAUUAGAUACCCUGGUAGUC
rnacentral:rRNA from 1 species